rnacentral:ncRNA from 1 species
UGCAGGUACCUUCGGGUCUGCAUGGAGAAUAGGAAACCGGGUGCGAAUCCCGGACGGUACCGCCACUGUAUGCGUGGAGGUCAUGUGUGUGACGAAAGUCGGUCAUUGGGGGAAUCCUCUGAGAAGGCUGGCACAUGACCCGGGAAGCGUAAGCCAGGAGACCUGCUCAGCAG